rnacentral:rRNA from 1 species
AUUGAACGCUGGCGGCAGGCCUAACACAUGUAAGUCGAGCGAGAGGCGGACGGGUGAGUAAUGUACGGGGACUGCCCGAAAGAGGGGGAUAACUACUGGAAACGGUAGCUAAUACCGCAUACUAUCGGAUAACCCAUAUGGGAUUAGCUAGUAGGUGAGGUAAUGGCUCACCUAGGCGACGAUCCCUAGCUGGUCUGAGCGGAUGAUCAGCCACACUGGGACUGAGAAACGGCCCCGACUCCUACGGAGGCAGCAGUGGGGAAUAUUGCACAAUGGGCACAAGCCUGAUGCAGCCAAGCCACGUGUAUGAAGAGGGCACUAGGGUUGUGAAGUACUUUCAGUCGGGAGGCGUUACCGACAGAGGAGGCACCGGCUAACUCCGUGCCAGCAGCCGCGGUAAUAC